GGGACAGGCGCAAAAUUGCGGCGGGGUUAAACAUGUUUUUGGAAAUCUCAACCCUCCCCCUAUACCUAUACCAAUGCGUGAACAGAUCAAAUCUUGUAGAAAGUUGGAUGACAUCAUACCGGACCGAUGUUGCCUUUUAGCCAACCAAAGUCAUACGGAGAACUUUUAUUGUUUCUGUAGUUAGGUCGACAUUGUCUUGGAUAAAAUUUUGACCCCCAGAAGAAAAAUAAUGCCAUGUAGAA
rnacentral:lncRNA from 1 species